CUCAAAUCGCCGCGAUGGCUAAUAUACCGGAACCCUAGCGUUCCUCUUACCUCAUACCCAUACGCUCAGAAUUCAUAGAAAUUCCAUAGAAAUUCUUACGGAUACUUCUCGGGAUCUAACACGGAGCCGCGCCCCGCCCCCCGCGCCCUUCGCCACCCGCCGCGGGUAGAGCCGGAGCCGCCCCGGCCCCCGCGCCCUUCGCCGCCCGCUGCUGGAGCCGCCCCCGCCCGCAGCUGGGGCCGCCGCAGGUCGCGCCGCCGCUGCAGGUCGCGUCGGAGCUGCCCCACAGCUCGAGCCGCCACAGGUUGCGUCGGAGCCGGCCCGCCGCUGGAGCCACUGCUGGAACCGCCGCAGGUCGCGCUGGAGCCGCCCGCCGCGGGAGCCGCGAGCCGCUGGUCGCCAUUGGACUUUUCCACACCUCCACGAGCAAGCGACCCACGCGCACAUCACUCUCCGCUGCACUAGUGAGGAAGUGAUGGUGCACGAGGACGAGCUUCCUGGACAAGAAGAUCUCCGUACUCUUCUCGGUGAUGCAAAGUUGAGAUCGUCUAUAUCGAUUCUGGAGACCGAUUCUUGGUGCUGCUGCAGAUCGUCUACAUUGAUUCUGGACGUCGAUUCUUCAUUUACCCUUCUUAUUACCAUUUGCUAACUUAACCACCUCUCUCUCUCAUGUUGGUUCUGAAGAUCUUUUAUGUGUCAUGUCGACAAGGGCGUUUGAUAAGAGAUCCAAGCAGGCUGCAUGUGAGGUGAAUCAAGGAAGUUGGUAGAAUAUGCAGCCUUGAUAGCAGAGGUUUGUGAAUCUUAUGCCAGGAGGGUGAGUGGAUUAGUCGCCGAUUAGUGCCUUCACUGUUGUUGAAUAAACUGGCUUCAGCUCUGAUGCAUGUGAACUGUGAGGUGUUUUUGGUAUGGGAAUGAUGAGGUUCUGAUGGUCUAUACCUGAUUGCAAGGUUUGGGUAUGAAUUAAAUUUGCGUCCAAACUUGGCAAUUAUCUUCUAUGAAUUUAGGCAUUGUUCACAUGUCAUUUGAGUCAAACAGAAAUAUGCUUCUGAAAUGCUCCAAUUUGCUGCUUUUCACAUUUUGAGAAGGUUGUUUAUUUCGUAUUCAUCGGGUUAUGCUAAAGCAGAAGGCACUGUGCUGACAUUUUUUAAGCCUUACUUGAUUUUGAUAUGUGGUUAGCCGUUUGCCCUUGCACCAAAAACAAACACUAUUCCUAUGUCUUACUUAGAAGCAAAGGUGCAUUAAUUAUUAACUGGUUGAUAUAUGUUCCAUGGUGGGUGGCAUAGAAAGCAAAGCUUCUUUCUAAGACAUGAUGUUCUGUUACUAGCAAAAAAGUGUUAGAAUUUAUAAGUACUUAUUCAAAGAAAAUAAAAACUGACUGGAGAACUGUUUGUUUCUACCAUUCCUUUCAAGUUAAGGCAAAAAUCAUAUUGGCAUGUAGCUUGUGCUCCUGCAGAGUUCUUUUUGUUUUGAUUUUCUAUAAUGUUAAAGGCAUAUAGAAUAAUGAAAUUGCAAUAGUUAUGAUCCCUAGGCCCGACAAAAAACUGACGAGAGUAUUAGGCGGUGGCAGGUAUCAGGCUACAGCAGCUGAAUUGCAAGUCUUCUGAUGAGCUUUUGCAGCAAGGUGGAGCAACCUUACAGUGCAAAGAUGAAGAAGGGGCAAUUCCUCUUCAUGGUGCUUGUGCUUGGGGGUAUGCAUUAUUUAUUUGCAUUGAGCUUAUACUUCCUUGCCCCAAGGAGAAGGUUUCAUGCCCCAAGAAGUAGAAUACGUACAGACAGGCACCCAUCGGGAUGGACGAUCAAGAAACCAAAGUCUAGGCCCUGAUAACUACUCCCUCCGUUCCAAAAUAGAUGACCCAACUUUAUACUAACUUUGGAAUGGAGGGAGUACAAAGCAAGUCGAUGCCAGCAUACAUAUGACAAAGUGAUGGGCCUGUCAGAGCGAACCCUUGGUUGAAAUUUGUCAAAAGACUGGGCGGUAAACUGAGUGGUAGUCUUAGUAUCCUAAUACACAACUUGCCUACUGUGUUUUUUUUAACAACAGAGAGCGCCAGAGGCGCCAGAUUUCAUUCAGCUCAACAACAUAAUACAGCAUUUAUUACAAUGCCCUGCAGUAGUGUAGCAGACUGAAGAGCAAGCAAAACAGGAUAACAGUUUGAGGAAUGAGCUGAUUUAGAGCAUACAUAGAUAGAUUGGUCAAGGCGUCGCUUUCAACUAUGGAGUUGUGUGCAAAGAAAGGACAUAAUGUUUCUCAAAUUGCCCUUUGUAUCUCUAUGUUUUGCACUUUAUCAAAGGCGCAAUCAGUUGAGCUCUCAA